GCCUGGCUGGCUCAGAUGGUAGAGCAUGUGACUCUUGAUCUCAGGGUUGUGAGUUCAAGCCCUAUGUUGGACA
rnacentral:tRNA from 1 species